rnacentral:rRNA from 1 species
UACGUAGGGGGCGAGCGUGUCCGGAAUUAUUGGGCGUAAAGAGCUCGUAGGCGGUUUGUUGCGUCGGCCGUGAAAACCUGCAGCUUAACUGCGGGCUUGCAGUUGAUACGGGCAGGCUAGAGUUCGGUAGGGGAGACUGGAAUUCCUGGUGUAGCGGUGAAAUGCGCAGAUAUCAGGAGGAACACCGGUGGCGAAGGCGGGUCUCUGGGCCGAUACUGACGCUGAGGAGCGAAAGCGUGGGGAGCGAACAGG